rnacentral:rRNA from 1 species
AGAGUUUGAUUAUGGCGUCAGGAUGAACGCUAGCUACAGGCUAACACAUGCAAGUCGAGGGGCAGCAUUGGGAUAGCUGCUAUUCAGAUGGCGACCGGCGCACGGGUGAGUAACGCGUAUCCAACCUUCCUGCCAGUAGGGAACAGCCCGGCGAAAGUCGGAUUAAUGCCCUAUGUUCUUCAAUGCGGACAUCUAAGUUGAAGGAAAGAUUCAUCGCUGGCAGAUGGGGAUGCGUCCGAUUAGCUUGCCGGCGGGGUAACGGCCCACCGGGGCGACGAUCGGUAGGGGUUCUGAGAGGAAGGUCCCCCACAUUGGAACUGAGACACGGUCCAAACUCCUACGGGAGGCAGCAGUGAGGAAUAUUGGUCAAUGGGCGCGAGCCUGAACCAGCCCAAGUAGCGUGCAGGAUGACGGCCCUACGGGUUGUAAACUGCUUUUGUACGGGAAUAAAGUGCGGGACGCGUCCCGUUUUGUAUGUACCGUAAGAAUAAGGACCGGCUAAUUCCGUGCCAGCCGCGGC